CACGUAGGGUGCGAGCGUUGUCCGGAAUUAUUGGGCGUAAAGAGCUCGUAGGCGGUGUGUCGCGUCGGCCGUGAAAACCUGCAGCUUAACUGUGGGCUUGCGGUCGAUACGGGCAUCACUGGAGUUCGGCAGGGGAGACUGGAAUUCCUGGUGUAACGGUGAAAUGCGCAGAUAUCAGGAGGAACACCGGUGGCGAAGGCGGGUCGUCUGGGCCGGAUACUGACGCUGAGGAGCGAAAGCGUGGGGAGCGAACAGG
rnacentral:rRNA from 1 species